AAGGAGGAGGAGGCAGAGGCGGUCUGGGCCGGGCCGGGCCUGACCCCUGCGUCCCGGGGGCACAGGCGUUCUUAAGGCUGCAGAGCCCUGGGUCCCCCACCCGGCCCCGGUUCACUUUGAGCGGUCCCAAGGCCUGAGGGCCUACUGUCCAGUCCCCAGGUUAUCGUCCUGAGCAAAGACAGACCCCGAGCCCUGCGGUCUUGGGGCUCAAACAGUCCCUGGAUGGCCAAACAAGCAAAUAUUCGCCAUGGCAGUGGGUGCUGGAAGGGUGGCUCACGGAGCUGACGCCCUCCGCAGAGAACCGUGGUCUAGUCCUGCGGUCACGAGGCCUAUCUGGGACAGUGGUGUUUGAGCUGAGACUUUAACGAAUAGAGACAGGUGAGGUUCCUGCAGCCCAGGGCUUCAGCGUGAACAACCCCAGAAGGAAAAAGAGUGCUGUUGUUAAAGGUAUCUGGCAUCAUGGACCCAACCAUCACCAGGAGUUUCUCACUUCAUCUCUGUGUGAUAAAUUUUGACAUAUGUAUACAUCCAUGAAGCCGGCACCACAAUCAAGAUAAUGAACAUCUCGCUUACCCCAGAAGUUUCCUGUGCCCUGUCACUCCUCCGUAUUCCUCCAUCCUCAGGAUUUCAUCAAAUGGUCUGCUGCACUGUGCUGGAAUUUUGAACUCCCCAGAGUAGUAAACAACAUCUUCUCAAGGGUAUACAAGUCAUCAGAUAGAGAAAACACCCAUUAUAGAGCUGUGGAGCCCUUACGAUAUAGUGCUAUGCUGCAACAAAUUAGACAGAAGAGUAUUUGUUGAAUAAUAAAAGGUAUCAAUGAACGAACAAAUAAAUUAAUGAGCUGAUGUAUUGAUUAAAUGAAUUUACUUCUUUCAGAUUUACUUUUCCAAACUAAAAAAAAAUUGUUUUAAACUUUGUUCCAAAGUUAUACAGUUUUUACAAAAAUAAAACUUUAUUUUUGAAAAAAAAAAAAAAAA
rnacentral:lncRNA from 1 species